rnacentral:tRNA from 1 species
GGAGAGCUGGCCGAGCGGCUGAAGGCGCACGACUGGAAAUCGUGUAUACGGGCUUGAACCCGUAUCGAGGGUUCGAAUCCCUCGCUCUCCGCCA